AUGCACGCUGGCGGCGUGCCUAAUACAUGCAAGUCGAGCGAACGGACGAGAAGCUUGCUUCUCUGAUGUUAGCGGCGGACGGGUGAGUAACACGUGGAUAACCUACCUAUAAGACUGGGAUAACUUCGGGAAACCGUAGCUAAUACCGGAUAAUAUUUUGAACCGCAUGGUUCAAAAGUGAAAGACGGUCUUGCUGUCACUUAUAGAUGGAUCCGCGCUGCAUUAGCUAGUUGGUAAGGUAACGGCUUACCAAGGCAACGAUGCAUAGCCGACCUGAGAGGGUGAUCGGCCACACUGGAACUGAGACACGGUCCAGACUCCUACGGGAGGCAGCAGUAGGGAAUCUUCCGCAAUGGGCGAAAGCCUGACGGAGCAACGACGCGUGAGUGAUGAAGGUCUUCGGAUCGUAAAACUCUGUUAUUAGGGAAGAACAUAUGUGUAAGUAACUGUGCACAUCUUGACGGUACCUAAUCAGAAAGCCACGGCUAACUACGUG
rnacentral:rRNA from 1 species